UGACAUUCAUUUUCACGCUGAAACUCAGCAUGAAGGGGGAAGGAACUCUCUCACAAACAUAAACCUAGGUUGUUCUUCAAACAAAGAUAACUUUUGAUUCGGAGCUCCGAUUGACAAGCCGUUUGCGGCCACGCGUUCGUCCUGGAGACCUCUUCAAUUCUAUCUAAACAAAAAGGUGCAAUCUAACAUUGGAUAAUUGUUGGAUUAUACUCCGAUCAUCAAUGGGUAAGAUUGUAAUUAUGUUAGAUUGAAGUUUGAAUUGGUGAAUUGGAGCUUUUGGAACAACUUUGGUGGCUGGAUUCUUGGAAGUGGGACUUGUGAGCUUGCAUUGUGGGAUUGUCUCGGGUUAUACGCGGAAAUUGGCCAAGAUGCAAGUCGAGAAGCACCUCGCUAGGCGUCUGGAUCCCUGAAGCGGAAUAGUCCCUGGUUUAUUUUGGGUUUUCAGUUUGUAAAUAUAUGUACAUAUGUAUUUAGCUUUCUCUCCAAGAAACUUGAUUAUUUUGUUCCUCAUAGAGGUUGAAGGAGUGUUAAGGCCUUAUUUCUGUAUUUUGAGUAUUCUGGGAUACUUGUAUAUAUAUAUAUAUGUAAACAUUCUCUGGCCAGCCUUGGCUUCGCAGGCUAAGUCAGGAGCUAGUUA